CUUCUGAGACCUGCAUCAGUUCGGGCUUUUCCUCCCACAUUAAGCUGACACGCCGCGAUAUAACUGGAAUACUGUUAAAAGCGGCGUUAAACCCAACUCACUCACUCACUCACUCACCUUGUUGGUUAGCACAAUAUCUAGUUCCAAAUCUGGAGCAUAGCCUACUACAUCAUCGUUCUUCGAGAAUGAUGCUGAUUACUCAUGAAGCAUUUUACGAACAACCUUUUCUUCCUCAGGUGUGAAAUCACUUUCGGACAAAUCAAUAUCUGGUUCUAACUUUUUUGCUCCCCAUUCUGUGUGUGAAUUGUAUUUACGGAGGCUGAAACCUUCUUGCACUUCAGAGGAAUGACUGAUCUCACAGGCUUUAAUGAUCCAAGAGAGUUCUAGGCUGCAACACAAUGUCAUGGUUAGUCACAUUUUCAGUAUAUAUGGUGUUUUCUCUUGGAUGAGACGCUCUGGUAGCAUGACAAGUGAUUCAGAAAACUGUAAAACUCUGGUCUUUGAAAGGCAUUUAGAAGUGAUACACAUAAGGAAGAGAAUAUAUGGAUGGCAACUUCUUUAUUAUGAGGAACACAACGUUUCGGAGUAUAUGCUUACUUCUCUUCCUUAUGUAAAACUCUGGCCAUGGUGAUUCCACAUUUGGUUCGAACAAACCAUGCCGGUUUUCCUGUGCCACACACUAACCCAACUCUUCAAAGCAGUUGACCCUUGUGAAUCUCAUUUCUACCGGUCCGUAACCUUCACAGUGAUUCAUCAUCCUGCUCUUUCACAGUGUAUACCGUGUUUUCAAUUUCGGGCAAAGCACACUGUAACACUGAAAUAACAGACUGACCAGACAUAUUACCACCUGUACCAUGCACAAGAUUUAUAAUCUCAACAAUAACAUGAUACCCUAUUAUGGGCAGUUCAGGUUCCUCAUUAUCCAAAAUUAACACUGGAAAAGUUAAAGAAUGGUUAUUAGCUGCACUAUCUGUCAAGUUUAGGUCUACUUCAGCCCACCCAGCAAAUUGCAGAUCAGAACCAUUUGCUGCAUGAUUUGUCAAACCCUGGUCCCAAAACAAUUCACCUGGUGGUCUGAUAUUCAGUUCAGGUAGAUUCCCUUUUCACCCAAUGAGAAGGGGUUAUUGUCACCUGGGUCCCAGUAUCCCACAGAGCAGUGGUGUCUACCCCAUCAAUAACAAUGUACCAAGCAUUUUGUUCCAAACAUCAAGAUCAUUCUUUGCUGAUUUGUUACUGUGUUAAUAUGAACCUGUCCAGUAUACACAUUGUUCAAGUGCAGAGUGAAAUCUGAAGCUUCUGCCUCCUGGUCUUGGGACGUUCGAGACUCAGCCACUCCUUGCCCCGUCGUAGUGACCUGCCUUGGUUUCCCCAACUUGUUUUAGCUUUUCUUGCAGCCGGCCUUGAAGAAAUCAUUGUGACAUCAUACUCUAUACCUUGCAUCACGUCACGCAUAACUAGUUAUGACUUGACAAUUAUGUUAUCAACCGUCUGUUGAUUAACAUCAUUACAAUGAGACAGUAUUUUUAAAAAACAGGGGACCUAAUUUCUUAUUCAAUUUUAGGAUUAAACACCAGACAAAAUACAACCAGUUCUGAAGGGCUAACACAUAUUUAAUUGGACCAGAAGACUGUUAUGAAUGGACAUAUAGCUAGAAAAGAUGUUUUCCUGAAUAUUAGGACAGGAGAAGAGAAGUUCUUUUGUUACAAAACGUAUCUAGUUGUGCUUGAGAGCAUACAACAAGCCAAGCAGAGUGCUUGUGAUAGUGCCGUUUCUUUCAAUCAUGGUAGUAACUUUGUAAUUUGAUUAGAUAGUGACUAUUCUUUGCUUUGUGUCAUUUUAACCAGAAUGUUAUGGUGGUGAAGGGGUCCAGGUUAUUUACCUUAAUGGAUAAUAAAUGGUGCUUGAAAGUUGAGCUGCUAUUCCAUAUUCUGUAAAUCUUAAAAUUAAUGCAUCUCCAAAUUAAUACGACUGCUAACCCCAAGCCAAAAAUAUGACUCAAUAUCAUGGUGCCCAUUCCCAGUGGAAUGAUACUUUUCCUUACCUUAAUCCAACCUUACCUGAAGCCAUUCAAACAGCAAAUAGCACAACUCAUCAGCGCUGAGUAGAGCACUUCCAUAAAAACAAUUUACAAUGUUUUCUUUAUAUGUUUAUUCUGUUGACUGGCAUUAAGGAAGUGCAAAGGCAAUAAAAUAAUUGAACCUCAACAAUUCACUGAUUCGUAUGCAGAGAAGGUGUCAACUAACUUAAAGGCAGAUGACAAGUCAAAGGCUGUAGAUCUGAGGAGUGUGAUGAAGCCAAUCGGUGCGUGUUGGGUUGUGUCUGCCUUUGACAAAGUGUUACAUGGGUGGCAUCUGUUUGGACUGCUGGUCAAUGAGACCUAGUUUGACACGAGUGGGUACAAUUCUUGGCCCCAGAUGUGAUAAGUCACCCGAUGCCUAUUGUGUAACUCCUAUUCUUGGAAUAACAUUGUUAUAUACUUGUUGCAACUGCAACAAUAUACCAUGUUUGUGUUUAUAUUCAAGUUGGUAUUUCCACUAUCCAAAGUGUGCAGAGAGGCCGUAUUAUUGCUGAUAGUCAUUUUGGAGACAUACAUGCCAAGGUUCAUUAGUAUGAACAAAGACUACUCGCAUUUUUCGCAUUUAGGUCACACUAGUGUUAAUUUCAAGACUUACAGUAUAUGGAAUAUUCCAAAGCAUGAGCGGAGCUCAUAUGUGUUCAUAUUAUUUAGAUCAAUACAGUUGUCAUGCAGUGCAUGUGUAAACAAUGUUUUCGCUCAAAAGGUUUCCGAAGGAUAGAAUAUUAAUAUGGGGAAUUAUUCCAGUGUUUGUAAGAUACUGGCUGUGGAAAUAUAAUACUGGAUAAUUUUACCAAGGAUAUUACUUUCUCCCAGGAACUAUCUCCAGGGGGAAUAAAUAUCCUAAUUUUUAAAACUUGUCUUAUCUCACACUAUGCUUUUCUCCUUCUUCACCAUGGUCACCUCCCAACAAUCUGGGUCACACUUGCUCUUUAUGCAGGUUGAUCUACCCAUGCUGUACAUGUGGUUUCCCCAGCCAACUCAUUCUCUUUCUUAACACCACACUGUGGAGACAUGUAAUGAUAUUAGAGAAAUUUGUUUUCUUCUCAAGAAGUCCCUCCACUAUCAUGUCUAAUUUAUGUUAGUAAUUUUGGGAAAAUGGGAGAGAUUGUGUCUGUCGUGCUUGAAGCACACAAAACAAGACAUGUCUCCUAUUUCCCCAGCUGCAAGAACGGGGAUCAAAGCUUAAAGAGAUGGAGCAUGACCUCCACAGAUCGUGACACCUCCCAGGAUUGGCACACCCAUCAAGAUCGGCGCACAUACCAGGGUCGACGCACUUCCCAGGUUAGGCGAACUUCCAUGGAUCGCCGCACAGCCCGGGAUUGCCACACUUCUCAAGAUCAGCGAACUUCCCAGGUUGAACACUUCUCCACUGAAUGACACUUAUCCAAGUGUCAGCGAUCAAGGGAUCGGUAACCUACACUUCAUCGUUCAUGAAGGGACAUUUCGGAUCCUUUGCGUUACUUUUCUGAGGAUGACUUACUUACUGAUUCGAUAGGACAUUUGUCAGACUUAAAUCACUCCUUUCCUCUAGUUUUUGGGAACGUCGCCAACACGAUUGUUUGUUUAUUUGCUGUUAAACGCUGCACUCAGCAAUAUUUCAGCUAUAUGAUGGCAGUCUGUAAAUAAUCAAGUCUGGACCAGACAAUGCAGUGAUUGACAUCAUUAGCAAUGCUAUUAUGACUACCAUCAUCAACACCGAGUUUCCUUGAAAUCAUUACAGUGCUUAAGCAAACUCUCCACAUGAUUGGGAAUGCUACUCCCAGCCCAUGGACUUGUACCCUUCUUUUGCACAGAUACUCUAAGGAUUUUCUUUGAUUCCAGCUCCCCCGGCACAGGUUUUCUUGCUCUUCUUGACGAGAUUUAUAUUAUCACUGUCGCCGGUGUAACCGUCACAGUGUUACAACAUUGACCACAUCAUCAACCAUCACUCCCCUUUGAUGAGGGAGGCGGCACUAUCACUGCUAUCACGAUGACCACUGCUUGUGUGCACUAUGACACGCGUCUACAGUCGUCACACAUUCAGCUGACCAUCCACCCGUACUGUACAAAUCAUGUUUGGUUAUUUCUAUUGCAUUGACAUUUCUAAAAAAAUCAAUGAGUUCCUGUUGAAAAAAAUGCUACAAGCAGCGUAGAACCAUACUUGCAUACUCACUCACUCAUUUACCUUAGCAUUGCUUGGAUUUAAUCAACUAUGUUGGUUUGGGGGCGUUUUGACAGUCUACAUUGGCAUUACCCUCCCUUACCUACUUCACAGUUUCACCGGACUUGCAGUCAGCGUUUUCAUUCCAUCUGUUGCUCAAGAAGAUUGCCUACUUAUUAACGAUCAAUAGCAGCAAUUUUCCCCUCUUAAGGUAGACAUUAUCAAGUGACUGCAGAUUGUUUGGUUUGUGUGUCGCCUUGACAGAUAUCCCAUUUCCUAUUUAUUUACAUACAUUCAAAUUAUUUAGAUGAUAACACGGAUAUAAGUUUGCUUGUGCACCUGUCCCAUCAUGCCUUCUACAAGGAAGUGGCUGCAGGUACACCGUUAUCUCUUUGGAACUUGGGACACUGUUUUUAUUCAUCUUCUCUACAGUUUUCCUCUGUUGGUCACGUGACGGAGGUGUGUGGAGUUUUUUCACCACAAGCUAAGGCAAGAAUGUAGACUGGUUUGGCUGCCCUUGAGCGCUUGUGAUCCUCAGCACAUAAGAAGCUUUGAGCAGGCAUGAAAGAGAGGAUACCAAUCUGGGCAAGGAUACAGUAUUCUCCGCACAGGGAUAUUUUUCAUAUUUACGUGUCAGUUUCUGUUUCUCUGGAUAGUAAACAAACCUGCUUAUCCUGGCAUUACCUGACGGACCUGACGUGAGCCAAUCGUCACUCUUUAUUUACUGUUGUAGAAGUGACAGUAAGUAGAUCUCCAUUGAUUUAUACCUUACCGUGUCUGAAUCUCUAACUUUCAGUUCGACCUUGAUGUCAUGAUAGCAUUUCACUAUGCUUAGAUUGAAAAAAACGCUUCAUGGUGCAGGAUUGACCCUGCUUUGUUGAUCAUCAUGUUUUUUAUGACAGUUCCUGCAGGAAUAUGAUAACAAGACCAACGAGUGAUGUGAAAUUGUUGCCACCAAACUCCUUUUUGUCAACGCCUCAACCAUGGGUUUGGGAGCUCAUUAUCAGGAUCUACAAGUGGCAGCCUCUUCGACAUAAACAACUUACCGAGUUCAAAACAGUGAUCUUGGCAGUGUCUAAUUGGGCGACACAUCUUCGCGACAAUGUAUUUGUCGUUUGGUGCAUAUACAAGAUCAAUUCACUCAACAUUCAAGUUCGACUUGAAUUUGUUCACCGCGCUCAUUCAACUAGCAGUCCGAAGGUUUUACUGUCUACCUCUAAGGAACGAUCUUCUUCUGCAGUCUCACUCCCAGCUGCUUCACCCAUCCCUCAACACCCUUCAUCUGUCCGUUUGGCACAUUUACAGAAAUCCCUCGUUGCCAAAGAGUACUCAAGACAGGUGGCCAAAUCGAUCUCGGAAGCUCAUCAUUCGUCAACCAAGUCCCCAUACAACAAGUGGAAGGCUUUUGAGGCCUAUUGUCACGUGUGGGGUAUUUCGUCUUUCCACAACAGAUUGCUGUAUAUCUUCACCAUCUCCGGUCAUCAUGUAAGCUAACAGGUUCUACUCUAGCUACAUACUUGGCUGCAUAUAACUCCAUUGUUGCUACUACUACUAGGGCUACGUCUCCCUGGUCGCCAGAUUACAAUCCUACAAGUUACAAGUUGGUGAACUAGUCCUCUGGGUUUCGUCCCCGACCUUGGAUAUGAACAUCAUACUUUGCCAUCUCACUUCGUCAGAUUACGAAUCAUUGUCUGAGAAAGAUUUUGAGCGCAUAACUUUUAAAAUGGUUCUUCUCUUGGCUCUAGUGUCAGCUGCUCGAGUCAGCAAGAUUCGUGCUUCAGACAUCAACAGAAUUCGUUUUGAACGCACUUUGCAUGUGAAAGUUUUCUUGGGCUUGAGAUGGGAUUUUAUCGCCAAAAAUCAACUUCAGGGCCAACCUGAUUUGUUAUUUAAUAUUCCUCCUUUGGCAUCUACUUUGAAUCCUGAAGAUACCGAAGAUGUAUCGUUGUGUCCCGUACGUGCUCUUCGGAUUUAUCUUGGUUCAGCGAAACCUCUUCAGCAUUCCCGGAAGAGACUUUUCAUCCCGCUCUCUACAGCAGGGGUAACGGAAGUAUCCCAUACCGCGAUUUUGUUUUGGAUUCGCUUGGUCAUACUUGGAGUUUACACAUUUCCUAGCCUCCCUACUCCGGUUGCUACCAUCCCCCACGAAACUCGUGCCAUCACCUCUACUAUGUCUUAACACAGUAAUUGUAACUUGGCUGCAGUUAUGGAGGGAUGUUUCUAGAAAUCAGAUGCGGUUUUCUCCAAGACAUUUCUGUGAUGGACGUCCAAGUUCUACACCAAUAUGGACCCUUGGUACUUGAACAACAGGUCCCCAUGACAUACCUGCGCAAAUAGAAGUUGACACAUACUUGUUUCAUUGUAUAUAUUAAUUUGGCACAUUUUUCUCAGCCUGAAUAUCGGAUCGUAGGAUAUUUCUCUUGUCUGUAGAGUCUUCAUCACAAAGUGGCCAUACAGUGCGGCUGGUUUACCUGUGUCCCGAUCCUAUAUUCCACUCACCUCUGCCUUUGUAUGUGUGUUGUUGGGUAUUGGAUCGACGAUCCUCUUGUGGAUAUGUGUAGUAUAAAGCACAUACAAAGGUUUUUAUGAUAUUCUGCGGAUUUGUAUCCUAAGGAUGAGGGUUUUAAAUAUCAUAAAAACCCUAGGGGAACUAUUUUAUCUCACUCACUGGGCUACAGAUACAAAGGUUGUGUGUUCGAUCCUAAGGAAUAUAAAGAAAACAUUUGUCAUUUGAGUUUACAUUUCAUGCCAUUGUGUUCAAAUGCAUAACAAAUUUCUAGCGAAAAACAUUGAUAUCCUAAAAAAAUCCCAGGGAUAUUACACCAUCCAUGUUUAUGAGAUUUAACCCGACUGGAGAACAAUGGGAUGACAUCACUGGAGGUUUAUAAGGUAGAUCAUUUCUUCUCGUCAAACCAACCGAUUUGAAUCCCUGCAUGGGUUCAAGGGUUUGUCGAAGCGUUUAAAGAGAUGCCAAGCAGGCAUUUUAUCGUCUGGGGGAGAUAAGAUACCCCGAUCUUGAAGAAUAGAUCUGCUUGAUUUAAUUCAGAAUCAUUUGUAAGUAGUAAUCAUUUUGUUUAGCUUAAAGAUUAUGCUACCCUCCGUUGAACAUGAUUUACAUAUAAGACUUUAUUCUUUUACCUCUGUUCACAUCUCAGGAUCACAACACUUUGUGGAGUGUUUCAUCCCUAUUUACGUGCUUUGUCUUUUGACACUAGAUAAGCGAUACUUAAUAUAGUUUUGUAUCGUUAUGUAGUUCCAGCUUCAUCGUGUUAUCCUCUGGUUGUAGCCUCUACUGUGUAGGCUAGGGAGUUGCGCCCACCUUCCAACCGUUUGAUAAAUGCAUGGUGUGAGAUAGGAUAAGUUUUAAAAUGUUCAAAUUUUACAAUAAAGUUAUAUUUAUAUAACUAUCCUAUCUCACACGUUAUAUGCCCACCCAUCCAUCCCUGCAUCACAAUUCGUCUAUCCUAUUAAGCCCAAGAAAGAGAAUGAGUUGGCUGGGGAACCGCUUGUUCAGCAUGGGUUGACCAUUGAACAUGGGUAGGUCAACUGGUAUGAAGACCAUGUGUGGCCCAGAUUAUUGGGAGGUGACCAUGGUGAUGCUAGGUGUGUUCAGGUGAAUUGCUUUUUAUAGUCUGGAAACCUUUGUUUAAGUACGUUUUGCACUUAUGAUCAAAGGUGAGGUGAGGUGAAAUUGGGUUUAACGUCGCGUCCAAGAUUAUUGCACUUAUAUAGCGACGUGUAUGAUCAAAAGAUUAAAGAGAAAUGCAUAGUGUGAGAUAUGAUAAGUAUGUAAAUAUACAAUUUAUUGUAAAAUUUAAAGUUACAUUAUUUCAUUUGGCAUGUGUUUUCCUCAACUAGAAGUGGUUAUAACUAUGUUAUUAAGGUAAUCAAUGAAUACUUAAUUUUACUGAAUUUGGCAAGUGUUUUCCACAACCAGAAGUAAUAUCAUUCAACCAGAAAUGAAUUUUCUUGUUAAGUUAACUAGAAGAAAACUAGAUUUUACUGCAUUUGUAAGUAUGCAAGUACUUGGAAGCACUUUUCUUAUUCACUUAUUGAUGUAUUCUGGAUUGAAGAGAAUACGUCAAUUUGAGUAAAGAAAGCAACAGAUCUCUUUGUGUUAAAAUAAAAGUAAUGUUUUUUGUAUUUGUCCUUCUUGUACUUUCAUUGUUAUUUUCAGGAUAAUUAAUGUCAUAAUUAUUUGCUCAAUAGGGCCAGUUUUCAUAUUAGAUGUUACAAUGAUUGAUUGACCUGAAGUUUGAGUAGUCAGUGAAAAAUUCUCCAAGGACAGAUCUAGAGAAUGGGGAAUUCCAAACUGAUAUUUUGUAAUGUAUAUAUUGUUUUGGUUGUAAAAUUAUUGACAGGUGUACUGGGGUAUAUGUACCUUGGAACCACCACCACUCUUAGGGACCUACCUUCUGAUAUUCGAGGGGUGCAGGUGAAGGGAUGUGGCAGGAAUUUUGAAAAAUACUGGAAAAGAAUCACUUUACCUCUUGUUUUACACAAAAAAUAAAUUGUUCAUAUAUCUUGAAGCAGUGACUGAAAACACAUUCUGUCACCAACAAACACUCCCCAGGUACAAACCCCACAAGAAAAUUACAAGGUUGGUUCUUUAUGAGCAGCCUUUGACAGUUAUGCAUUUGAUCGAUUUCUGUUGAAUAGAAACCAAACUUUGUCAAAUUGGCACAGAUGAAUAAUGUUGAGAUAACUAUAUGUACAUAAAAUAAAAAUAUUAACACCUCAUUGUUAAAUUGUUUGGUAUGCCAUUGUUUGUCAUUUUAUGUUUGUUUAUGAUCCUGCCUGAUGAACAUAUAAGCAUUGUCAACUCAUUUGUGCCAUUUCUUGGCUGAUUUCGGUGGAUAUGGCUCCAGUAGGUUGUUCAUAUAUACUAACGGGAAAUAUUAACUUUGCUUCAUAUCAAGUAGUGUGAAUGUUAUAGAAAAUAACAUAUUUGGUCAUUCAUAGGAUCAGUGGUUUAUCAUAACAAAUUAAUUGACAAAACCCAUACCUGGAAACAGGAGGCAGAGAGAUGCACCCUAAAAGUGGGGUGUUGUACAACUCAAUGUACAAUGUCAAUAUUAGGUGUGACCACAAGUUGCUUUGAUACAGGCAAGGCAGUGUCGGCGCAUUGAAGACUGAAAACAGCCUGGUGGAUGUUCCAAAAGUCCAACAAAUUGGCUCAACUGAGCUAAGCAAAGGUUGGCCCAACAGACCUAGCACUGCCGGUUAGUCGACACCAAGCUAGGCAUACCUGAUGGUGAUGUGGAGGCAAAAUUGGGUGUAAAGCUUUUGUUGGGGCCAGAUGUUGUGCUCCCUCAACCCGUUGUGUAUGGUUCUGCCACUAAUUGGUGUGAAUCUACGAGUUUGUCCGAAUUCAUAAUGUGGACAACCAGCCCAUUGCAAGUCAUGAGUAUUGCCCUGCUGUAGAUAACUUCUUCAAAACGAUGAUAUUGUUUUUCAAUGAACAUGGCAAGUAUCUGGCAACUUAUUUUCGCUUUUCAUGUUUGCAGCACACCCACGGCAUGAAAACAUUGAUAUUCAGCCAGCCUUAUAUUGCAUAAGUGUUAUUUACAGUUAAACAAAAGUUUUUUUAUGAUCACCUUACACCUAAAAAACCAACUGUGUGAAUAUCAUGCUCCGAACAAACACCGAAACAAACGAAUUGUGAAUCCGACCUUAAAGUUGAGAUGUCUAAAUGAACAUGUAUUGAAAGAUGCAUUUAAAUUUAUUUUUAUUGUACUUUACAUGAAGUACAGUUACUUUUUUUGCAAUAGUAUAUGAUAUCAUUUCAAUAAUGUCAGUGUAGGUUUAAACAUUUCCGUAUUCCAUUCAAAAGAUUAACUAUUAAUGAGGACUACAAACAUUCAUACAUACUGGGUAAAAAAAAUAGCCAUCUCCUUUUCUUUCAUGUGGAAACUACUAGAGCUCCUUAUAUAGGGUGUCAUGUUUCUAUAUUUAGCAAGUACAUUACCUACCUGAGCCAAAAAAAAUCUUAACACACACGUCACUCAAAAAUAAAAGGUUCUUUUGAUUACAUGAGAUCCAUACUUCUGUCCACAGAAAGUUUGAAGUAUUUCCAUAUGACGUCUGUCCGUCUGUAAUCAUAGUUUGUCCGGAGCAUAUUUCCUAAACCCUACAACCCAGCUUCACAAAACUUAGUACAUUUAGCAAUCAGGCUCAGGAGUAGUGCCUUUUGCCAUUUAGAGAUUUUUAGAAUUUUUUAUUUUUGUCGUUUCCAUGGAAAUAUUAUGAACUUAGGAAAUUUGAGGGUACUGCUCUUGUCCGGAGCAUAUUUUCUAAACCGUACAACCUAGCUUCGCAAAACUUAGUACACUUAACAAUCAGGCUCAGUUGAAGUGCCUUUUGCUAUUUAGAGAUUUUUAGAAUUUUAUAUUUUUGUCGUUUCCAUGGAAAUAUGAUGAACUUAGGAAAUUUGAGGGUAGUGCUCUUGUCUGGAGCAUAUCUCCCGAACCAUACAACAUAGCUUCUCAAUUUUUUUUACGCCUAUCAAGCAGGUUAUGUAGUGGUGCCGUUGCUAUUAACAGAUUUUUUCUUUUUUUUUCUUUUUUCAAUUUAAAUUAAAAAUUGGUGAACUUAGGGUAAUGUCCUCGUCUGGAGCAUAUCUUCUAAACCAUGCGACAGAGAUUCACCAAACUUUAUGCACAUAUCAAUCAUGUUCACUAGUAGUGCAGUUUGUUAUUUAUAGAUUUUAAUCUUUUUAAUUUGUAGCCCCUGACAUAUAAUUCUAAGGUGUACUAUUUACCGAUAUCAUAUACUAUAUAUGAUGUGAGCUACAUAACCUAGUACAUUCUCUUUAUGCCUUUGUGUCAUGAGGCUACUACAGAGCUAUUCAUAUGCGAAUCUGUGAAGUUAUUGUUAUUACAAUUUCAUGAGAUCAUCAGAAAGUGAGCUACAUGAACCAAUAUUUAAUAACCUUCAUUAUAU
rnacentral:lncRNA from 1 species